AUUAAAGAGCAGCAUAUGAGAGUUUCUUACACUGAAUUGGCUGAAGCAACAAAAGGUUUUACUUCUGAGAACCUCAUUGGAGCAGGGAGCUUCGGCUCUGUGUACAAGGGAAGAAUGAAAAUCAAUGACCAACAAGUAGCUGUUGCUGUGAAAGUGUUCAACCUCAAGCAGCGUGGUUCAUCUAAGAGUUUUGCAGCAGAAUGUGAGACUUUAAGAUGUGUUCGACAUCGGAACCUUGUAAAGGUACUGACCGUAUGCUCAAGUAUCGAUUUUCAGGGCCGUGAUUUCAAGGCCAUUGUAUACAAGUUCCUACCGAAUAGAAAUUUAGAUCAAUGGCUACACCAAAAUAUCAUGGAAGAUGGUGAACACAAGGCAUUAGAUCUCAUCACGCGACUAGAAAUCGCAAUUGAUGUGGCAUCCUCACUUGAAUAUCUUCACCAAUAUAAGGCAUCGCCAAUCAUUCACUGUGAUCUUAAGCCAAGCAAUGUUCUCCUCGACGAUGAGAUGGUUGCACAUGUUGGUGAUUUUGGCCUUGCAAGAUUUCUUCACCAGGACCCAGAGCAAUCAAGUGGUUGGGCAUCAAUGAGAGGCACAACUGGUUAUGCUGCUCCAGGUAAGCUCCUAAUUGUUGUAGCUUUUUUUUAUCAUAUUUCAUAUUAUAUGUAUCCUACUAUGCUGGAUUCAGCCAAAAUGGAGUAAGACUUAUUGGUACUUCAUUUUACUACAUAGACAAGUUUUGAUGAAACUCUUAUUUCCCUAGGAAUUUGAAAGGGGAAAAAUGAACAAGUAUAUGGUAGCAAAAUGUUGUAUCCUGUAAAUGGAUUUCGCACAAACAUAAAUAGGCUUGUGGAGUUAUUUUCUCAUAAGCCAUUUCUUAUUUUUAGAGUAUGGACUGGGCAACGAAGUCUCAAUCCAUGGCGAUGUAUAUAGCUAUGGUAUAUUGUUGCUGGAGAUGUUUAGCGGGAAGAGACCAACAGACAGCGAAUUUGGAGAAUCCCUUGGCCUCCAUAAUUAUGUCAAUAUGGCAUUGCCAGACAGGACGGCUAGUGUCAUAGACCUUAGCUUACUAGAAGAGACAGUGGAUGGCGAAGCAAAGACAUCAAAAUCUAACCAGACAAGAGAAAUGAGAAUUGCUUGCAUUACCUCAAUUCUGCAUGUUGGAGUUUCCUGUUCAGUGGAGACACCAACAGAUCGCAUGCCAAUCGGAGAUGCCCUGAAAGAGCUGCAGAGAAUAAGAGACAAGUUCCACAGGGAGUUGCAAGGAGCAGGAGCGACAAACCAUCAAGACAUUCAAAUCUGUUGAUGCGCAGCAACCAACCGGAUCAAUAAAGGCGUAAAGAGCUGCAAGAUUUCUGCUACUCCUUGCCAUCUAGGCUAGCCAAAAUAAAAUCAUAAUGUUGCAAAUUACAAAGUUUGGCAUUCUGUUUGAUCCUUGCCAUGAAGAUCUUGUACAUACUAUGAACCAACCACAUCUUGGCAAAUCACAUUAUUAUAUGCUUUUCCUUUGUUGAUAUUUCUUCCUCACAAAACCAUAUAUGCCUUUCUAUUCCCCUUUUGUAAGUGACACAGUAAACCUAGUCGCAGUGAAUCUCUAAAAAAAAAAAAACACUAUACGCUUGCAUCUUAGUUUAACUACCCGCAGGAUUCCAUCCAUCCAGGUGAGUUCCCCUUCCUUUGUUUCCAUUAGGUAAUCACAGAAUCACAGUAGAUCACUACAUAUAUAUGAACGAAAGUGGGGAAGAGGGCGUUCCUUCACCUCCGGGGUAGCGAACGCGUCACGCUAGAAGGAGAAGAGGCGUGUCGCGGGCGCGGGCCGGGAGCUCCGCUGCCGGCGCCGGGGUUGCGGCUUCACGGCGAGCUUCGCCUGGAUGCGGGGCCAGUGGCGCUCGCCGCCGACGGCGUCGGAUCUCCGGUGGGCCGUGGGGCGCCGCGUGGCGGAGAGAGAAAUGGGAGUGAGGGAGAGAACCCAC
rnacentral:lncRNA from 1 species